CCUACGGGAGGCAGCAGUGAGGAAUAUUGGUCAAUGGGCUUACGCCUGAACCAGCCAAGUCGCGUGAGGGAAGACUGCCCUAUGGUUUGUAAACCUCUUUUGUCAGGGAGCAACGCCGGCUACUUGUAGCCGGACUGAGAGUACCUGAAGAAAAAGCAUCGGCUAACUCCGUGCCAGCAGCCGCGGUAAUACGGAGGGGGCAAGCGUUAUCCGGAUUUACUGGGUGUAAAGGGAGCGUAGGCGGUUUAGCAAGUCAGAAGUGAAAGCCCGGGGCUCAACUCCGGGACUGCUUUUGAAACUGUUGAACUAGAUUGCAGGAGAGGUAAGUGGAAUUCCUGGUGGAGCGGUGAAAUGCGUAGAUAUUAGGAGGAACACCAGUGGCGAAGGCGGCUUACUGGACUGUAAAUGACGCUGAGGCUCGAAAGCGUGGGGAGCAAACAGGAUUAGAUACCCGAGUAGUC
rnacentral:rRNA from 1 species